GACGAACCGUGCGAACGUUGUUCGGAAUCACUGGGCUUAAAGGGUGCGUAGGCGGGUUGUACAGUCUGGGGUGAAAUCCCACGGCUCAACCGUGGAAUUGCCUCAGAUACUGUCGACCUCGAGGGAGGUAGGGGCGAGCGGAACUGUGGGUGGAGCGGUGAAAUGCGUUGAUAUCCACAGGAACUCCGGUGGCGAAGGCGGCUCGCUGGCCCUCUUCUGACGCUGAGGCACGAAAGCUAGGGGAGCAAACGGG
rnacentral:rRNA from 1 species